rnacentral:rRNA from 1 species
GAUGAACGCUGGCGGCGUGCCUAAUACAUGCAAGUCGAGCGAAUGGAUUAAGAGCUUGCUCUUAUGAAGUUAGCGGCGGACGGGUGAGUAACACGUGGGUAACCUGACCAUAAGACUGGGAUAACUCCGGGAAACCGGGGCUAAUACCGGAUAAUAUUUUGAACUGCAUGGUUCAAAAUUGAAAGGCGGCUUCGGCUGUCACUUAUGGAUGGACCCGCGUCGCAUUAGCUAGUUGGUGAGGUAACGGCUCACCAAGGCAACGAUGCGUAGCCGACCUGGGAGGGUGAUCGGCCACACUGGGACUGAGACACGGCCCAGACUCCUACGGGGGGCAGCAGUAGGGAAUCUUCCGCAAUGGACGAAAGUCUGACGGAGCAACGCCGCGUGAGUGAUGAAGGCUUUCGGGUCGUAAAACUCUGUUGUUAGGGAAGAACAAGUGCUAGUUGAAUAAGCUGGCACCUUGACGGUACCUAACCAGAAAGCCACGGCUAACUACGUGCCAGCCGCCGCCGUAA